AUAAGGCUCGUGGCACUCUGAGAUGCUACUAGGGAAUAUUGUAUCCUAUGUUGGCAAAACAUAACGCAGCCAGGGGAUGCAGUAUCCUGUAUUGGCAAUAAGAUGAGGCUGAUGGAGCUCUGAAAUGUUACUAGGGAAGGUUGUACCCGAUGUUGGCAAUAAAAUGAGGCUCGUAUCACUCUUAGAUGGCUACUAUGGGAUGAUGUACCCUAUGUUAGCAAUGAGAAAUGAGGUAUGUGGCACUCUGAAAUACUACUAGGGAAUGUUAUACCCUAUAUUGGCAGAAAAUAACGUAGCCAUGGGAUAUAGUACCAUGUGUUGUCACUAAGAUGAGG
rnacentral:lncRNA from 1 species